GUCGAGUUGCCAGAGUGGUUAAUGGGUUAGACUUGAAUUGUUCCAAGAGAGCAACUUCUAGAUAUCUAAUGGUUUCGGCCGCGUAGGUUCAAAUCCUGCACUCGACG